GAUCAGCUCAGUGAUAGAAAGUUCGACUGCCGAUCGAGAGGUCCCCGGUUCAAACCCGGGUGCC